UACGUAGGGGGCAAGCGUUGUCCGGAAUCAUUGGGCGUAAAGCGCGUGUAGGCGGCUCGAUAAGCCCGCUCUGAAAGUCCAGGGCUCAACCCUGGGAUGCGGGUGGAUACUGUCGGGCUCGAGUCCGGAAGAGGCGAGUGGAAUUCCUGGUGUAGCGGUGAAAUGCAUUGAGAUCGGAAAGAACACCAACGGCGAAAGCACUCUGCUGGGCCGACACUGACACUGAGAGACGAAAGCUAGGGGAGCAAAUGGG
rnacentral:rRNA from 1 species